GACAGAGGGUGCAAACGUUGUUCGGAAUUACUGGGCGUAAAGCGCGUGUAGGCGGUCUCGCAAGUCGGAUGUGAAAGCCCAGGGCUCAACCCUGGAAGUGCACUCGAUACUGCGAGGCUAGAGUCCCGGAGAGGAUGGUGGAACUCUCGGUGUAGAGGUGAAAUUCGUAGAUAUCGAGAAGAACACCGGUGGCGAAGGCGGCCAUCUGGACGGUGACUGACGCUGAGGUGCGAAAGCGUGGGGAGCAAACAGG
rnacentral:rRNA from 1 species